GCCUGGUGCCAGGAGGGUUGUGGGAAAGGUGUGAUGUGUAGCGCUGAAAAUGCAGUAGGGAACUAGAGGAGGUGAGGGAUGAGUUCUGCAUGGGAGGAGGGGACAUUUAGCGAAGGUUUCAUAAAGGAGGUGACCUCUGAACUGGAUCUUGAAGGAUGAGCUGGGGGUGGGAUGCGCCUGGCGAAGGGGAUGCCUGGAAGCCUGCACAGGGCAAGGAUGUGCCAGAUCAGAGUUAUGAAUUUGGGACCUGUGACCAAGCAGGCCUUCAUUCCUCAGUCUCUGCAGGAUUGGGCUUUCCUGUUUUUGUCAUUCUUGGUUUAUGUCAUAGGCACACUUUGUGUAGAAGAGAAAAAUACCCAUGAAGGAAGCUUCCAAGGAGGUUACCAGGUACACAGUUCAGCCAAGUAGGUGACUCUAUGGGAGACAUCUCUUUGUGUUUGUUCGGAUGGGGAAGGGUGUGACAGCAUGUUGGAAGAGAUUCGGCUCAUGGCCAAAUAACUUAACCACCUGAGGUAUGAGGCAGUUCCUCCACGUUGUCAUUCCAUUGGGGUCCAACAUAACUGCUUGAGAAACCUAGUGUGUGGGAAAGUAAACAGCUCCAGAUAAUGCUCAUAAUGUACAGCAUAAUGAUUUUUAAUUGUAUGUCUCAGGGACUACUUUGGCUUCUGAUACAUAAACAGAUUUCCUCCUACAAUUGCAUUUAUACAGUAGAAGUGUACCUACUUGCCUAUUGAAGAUUUUAUGAGUAAAACAAAAAAAAAAAAGAAAAAAAGAAUGAGGAA